UACGUAGGGUGCGAGCGUUAAUCGGAAUUACUGGGCGUAAAGCGUGCGCAGGCGGUUCGCCAAGUCAGGUGUGAAAUCCCCGGGCUUAACCUGGGAAUUGCGCUUGAAACUACAGGGCUAGAAUCUGGCAGAGGGGGGUGGAAUUCCACGUGUAGCAGUGAAAUGCGUAGAGAUGUGGAGGAACACCGAUGGCGAAGGCAGCCCCCUGGGCUGAGAUUGACGCUCAGGCACGAAAGCGUGGGGAGCAAACAGG
rnacentral:rRNA from 1 species